rnacentral:rRNA from 1 species
UAGGGAAUAUUGCACAAUGGGGGAAACCCUGAUGCAGCGACGCCGCGUGAAGGAAGAAGUAUCUCGGUAUGUAAACUUCUAUCAGCAGGGAAGACAAUGACGGUACCUGACUAAGAAGCCCCGGCUAACUACGUGCCAGCAGCCGCGGUAAUACGUAGGGGGCAAGCGUUAUCCGGAUUUACUGGGUGUAAAGGGAGCGUAGACGGACGGGCAAGUCUGAAGUGAAAGGCAGGGGCUCAACCCCUGGACUGCUUUGGAAACUGUCCAUCUGGAGUGCCGGAGAGGUAAGCGGAAUUCCUAGUGUAGCGGUGAAAUGCGUAGAUAUUAGGAGGAACACCAGUGGCGAAGGCGGCUUACUGGACGGUAACUGACGUUGAGGCUCGAAAGCGUGGGGAGCAAA